rnacentral:rRNA from 1 species
CCUACGGGCGGCAGCAGUGAGGAAUAUUGGUCAAUGGACGAGAGUCUGAACCAGCCAAGUAGCGUGAAGGAUGACUGCCCUAUGGGUUGUAAACUUCUUUUAUAUGGGAAUAAAACGUUCCACGUGUGGGAUUUUGUAUGUACCAUAUGAAUAAGGAUCGGCUAACUCCGUGCCAGCAGCCGCGGUAAUACGGAGGAUCCGAGCGUUAUCCGGAUUUAUUGGGUUUAAAGGGAGCGUAGGUGGAUUGUUAAGUCAGUUGUGAAAGUUUGCGGCUCAACCGUAAAAUUGCAGUUGAAACUGGCAGUCUUGAGUACAGUAGAGGUGGGCGGAAUUCGUGGUGUAGCGGUGAAAUGCUUAGAUAUCACGAAGAACUCCGAUUGCGAAGGCAGUUCACUGGACUGCAACUGACACUGAGGCUCGAAAGUGUGGGUAUCAAACAGGAUUAGAUACCCUAGAGUC